rnacentral:rRNA from 1 species
ACUCCUACGGGAGGCAGCAGUGGGGAAUAUUGCACAAUGGGCGAAAGCCUGAUGCAGCAACGCCGCGUGAGGGACGACGGCCUUCGGGUUGUAAACCUCUUUUAGUAGGGAAGAAGCGAAAGUGACGGUACCUGCAGAAAAAGCACCGGCUAACUACGUGCCAGCAGCCGCGGUAAUACGUAGGGUGCAAGCGUUAUCCGGAAUUAUUGGGCGUAAAGAGCUCGUAGGCGGUUUGUCGCGUCUGCUGUGAAAACUGGGGGCUCAACCCCCAGCCUGCAGUGGGUACGGGCAGACUAGAGUGCGGUAGGGGAGAUUGGAAUUCCUGGUGUAGCGGUGGAAUGCGCAGAUAUCAGGAGGAACACCGAUGGCGAAGGCAGAUCUCUGGGCCGUAACUGACGCUGAGGAGCGAAAGCAUGGGGAGCGAACAGGAUUAGAUACCCUGGUAGUCCAUGCCGUAAACGUUGGGAACUAGAUGUAGGGGCCAUUCCACGGUUUCUGUGUCGCAGCUAACGCAUUAAGUUCCCCGCCUGGGGAGUACGGCCGCAAGGCUAAAACUCAAAGGAAUUGACGGGGGCCCGCACAAGCGGCGGAGCAUGCGGAUUAAUUCGAUGCAACGCGAAGAACCUUACCAAGGCUUGACAUAUACCGGAAAAGUUCAGAAAUGUUCUCCCCGCAAGGUCGGUAUACAGGUGGUGCAUGGUUGUCGUCAGCUCGUGUCGUGAGAUGUUGGGUUAAGUCCCGCAACGAGCGCAACCCUCGUUCUAUGUUGCCAGCACGUUAUGGUGGGAACUCAUAGGAGACUGCCGGGGUCAACUCGGA